rnacentral:rRNA from 1 species
UACGGAGGAUUCAAGCGUUAUCCGGAUUUACUGGGUGUAAAGGGAGAGUAGGUGGCAGAGCAAGUCCGAAGUGAAAACCCAAAGCUCAACUAUGGGAAUGCUUUAGAAACUGCUCAGCUAGAGUGCAGGAGAGGCAAGUGGAAUUCUUAGUGUAGCGGUGAAAUGCGUAGAUAUUAGGAAGAACACCAGUGGCGAAGGCGGCUUUCUGGACUGAAACUGACGCUGAGGCACGAAAGCGUGGGGAGCGAACAGG